rnacentral:rRNA from 1 species
GUCUUUUUGACAAUAAUUUAAAGUUUAAUCUGCCCACUGAUAAAUAUUAAAGGGCUGCAGUAUUAUGACUGUACAAAGGUAGCAUAAUCAUUAGUUUUUUAAUUGAAAACUUGUAUGAAAGAUUUGAUGAAAUAUAAACUGUCUCUUAUUUAUUAUUAGAAAUUUAUUUUUUAGUAAAAAAACUAAAAUGUAUUUAAAAGACGAGAAGACCCUAUAGAGUUUUAUAUUUAUAAUUUAUUUUAUUUUAUAUAAAAUUUAAUAUUAAAUUAAAUAUAAAUAUUAUAUUGGGGUGAUAGAAAAAUUUAAUUAACUUUUUUUAAAAAUUUAACAUUAAUAAAUGAUUAAAUGAUCCAUUAAUAAUAAUGAUUAUAAGAAAAAAUUACCUUAGGGAUAACAGCGUAAUAUUUUUUUUUAGUUCAAAUAAAAAAAAAAGUUUGCGACCUCGAUGUUGGAUUAAGAUAAAAUUUAAAUGCAAAAGUUUAAAAUUUUGAUCUGUUCGAUCAUUAAAAUCUU